AGUGAACGCUGGCGGUAGGCCUAACACAUGCAAGUCGAACGGCAGCACAGUAAGAGCUUGCUCUUACGGGUGGCGAGUGGCGGACGGGUGAGGAAUACAUCGGAAUCUACUUUUUCGUGGGGGAUAACGUAGGGAAACUUACGCUAAUACCGCAUACGACCUACGGGUGAAAGCAGGGGAUCUUCGGACCUUGCGCGAUUGAAUGAGCCGAUGUCGGAUUAGCUAGUUGGCGGGGUAAAGGCCCACCAAGGCGACGAUCCGUAGCUGGUCUGAGAGGAUGAUCAGCCACACUGGAACUGAGACACGGUCCAGACGCCUACGGGAGGCAGCAGUGGGGAAUAUUGGACAAAGGGGGCAAGCCUGAUACAGCCAUACCGCGUGGGUGAAGAAGGCCUUCGGGUUGUAAAGCCCUUUUGUUGGGAAAGAAAAGCAGCAGGUUAAUACCCCGCUGUUCUGACGGUACCCAAAGAAUAAGCACCGGCUAACUUCGUG
rnacentral:rRNA from 1 species